UGAACUUUCUGGGAGCAAAAAUGAAACUGUGGCUAAACUUUGUGUCCUUACUAGCAGUCCUCAGAGGUGUGCAAUCUGAGAUUCAGUUGGUGGAAUCUGGAGGGGAUGUGAGAAGACCUGAAGAAUCCCUCCGUCUCUCCUGUCAAGCCUCUGGAUUCACCUUCAACAGCUCCUGGAUGUACUGGGUGAGACAGGCUCCAGGGAAAGGACUGGAAUGGGUGUCACACAUAAACUACAAUUCCGGUACUAUUCACUACAAUGACAAAGUGAAGGGCUGCUUCACCAUCUCCAGGGACAAUGCCAAAAGCCAGCUGUAUCUGCAAAUGAACAGCCUCAAACCAGAGGACACGGCAGUCUAUUACUGCUCAACUUACACAGGCACACGUAUUUACUACUCAGACAAAGUGAAGGGCCGCUUCACCAUCUCCAGGGACGAUGCCAAAAGCCAGUUGUAUCUGCAAAUGAACAGCCUCAAGCCAGAGGACACAGCAGUCUAUUACUGUGCAAGAUACACAGUGAGAGGAAGUGGUUCUGAAACCAAAAAAAGAACCUUCUGUCUCAUAGCAGAUCUCCAAGUGGAUUCAGUUACAGAAAGUUGA